rnacentral:rRNA from 1 species
ACGGGUGAGUAACACGUAGGCAACCUGCCCACCAGACGGGGAUAACGACCGGAAACGGUAGCUAAUACCGGAUAGAUCCUGUCGCCGCAUGGCGAGAGGAAGAAAGGCGGCUUGGGCUGUCGUUGGUGGAAGGGCCUGCGGCGCAUUAGCUAGUUGGUAGAGUAACGGCCUACCAAGGCGACGAUGCGUAGCCGACCUGAGAGGGUGAACGGCCACACUGGGACUGAGACACGGCCCAGACUCCUACGGGAGGCAGCAGUAGGGAAUCUUCCGCAAUGGGCGCAAGCCUGACGGAGCAACGCCGCGUGAGUGAAGAAGGUUUUCGGAUCGUAAAGCUCUGUUGCCAGGGAAGAACGACUUUUGGAGGAACUGCCAGAAGAGUGACGGUACCUGAGAAGAAAGCCCCGGCUAACUACGUGCCAGCAGCCGCGGUAAUACGUAGGGGGCAAGCGUUGUCCGGAAUUAUUGGGCGUAAAGCGCGCGCAGGCGGCCGUUUAAGUCCGGUGUAUAAGCCCGGGGCUCAACCCCGGAUCGCACGGGAAACUGGAGGGCUUGAGAACAGCAGAGGAGAGUGGA